UUGCUAUUGUUAUUAUUAAACAGUUGUUAUUAAAGUUUACAUGUUAAAUGUAUGUAAUUCUUGACAGCUGGUAUCACUAUGGGUUAAACAGUUUCUGAGCGUGUAUCUGUGGUUCUUAAAAUACCCAUCCAGUCCUCAGUUGAGGUUUGCGUAUCAUGCAUGGUGACUGGCUGAAGCAGCUGCUAGGCCCAAGAACUACUUGUCUCCUCUUACGCGAGUCUCACCUUCACAUUGGACAACAGUAUUAAGAAGCAGGUUGUAUUGGAUCAUGGAGAAGAAUGGCAGAUAAGAGGUUAUCCACAGCUACAGAUGGUCUGCUCCAAAAGGAGGUGGUGAGAGAGUCUUGAGAUGGGUGGUGAGAAGUUGCAGGAAGAGUUCUGCCUAAAGUGGUACUGGAAGAGGAUCUGAAUGAGAAGGGCAUAUGGGAGGUGCGAUGGGGAAACUGAAAAAGAGGACAGCAUUGGAAGAAAACAAGUGAUGAUUUGCUGAACAAAUACUGCAGAUUGAAGCAGACCUCAAUUCUCUAGGAGUAUGCUUGCAACUGAAAGCGUUGUGACUUCGACAUGAAUUUCAGAACUGUCUUUAUCUCAAUCAGUGAGCACCAACUAAUACAGUCUCAGUGGAUGCUGUUUGGGACCUGUGAGAUACCAUUCCUAAAAGGCAGAUGUGGACACUGUAUUUAGGGGUGGUUUUCUCUUCUAUCCCUUCAGUGGCGGAGAAGGAUACUGAGAGGAUCAAAAAAACCCUCCUCAUAAAUAAAUGGCUCAGAGGUUGGUGCAAACACAAGAAUUUUGGUUUUUUUGACCAUGGGGCAAUUUACUCAGCACCUGGCAUGACAGCUGCAGAUGGAACUCAGCUGUCUGCAAGGGGUAAAAGGAUCCUAGCCCAGGAACUGGCAGGACUCAUUGAAAGGUGUUUAAAGUAGGUAAGAAAGGGGACAAAAAAUGAGGGCCACUGCUGUUGAGCGACUAAUUUGAGGCUUAAAACAGAGCUUGAUGGGUGAUGAGGAUGGAGUUCAAAGGGAUGGAGAGGGGCAGGGGGAUGCUGCUUCCCUAAAGUGUCUGUUCACUAAUGUGCACAGUAUAAGAAAUAAACAGGAAGAGUUGGAAAUCUGCGUGCGGUUGCACGACCACGAAGUCAUUGCAAUCACAGAAAUAUGGUGGGGCAGCUCGCAUGACUGGAAUGUUGUCACGGAGGGCUAUGUUCUUUUUAGGAAUAAUCGUCUGGUGAGGCAGGGUGGUGGAGUUGUUCUUUAUGUGAGAGAGCAGCUAGAAUGUAUUGAACUUCACCUGGGGGACAGUGGUGUAGCAGUGCAGAGCUUGUGGGUAAGAAUCAAGGGGCAGGCUGGCAUGGGUGACACUAUUGUGGGUGUGUACUACAGGCCCCCUGAUCAGGAGGAGGAGGUUGAUGAGACCUUCCAUAAGCAACUGGAAGUAGUGUCAUGAUCCCAGGCAUUAGUGCUUAUAGGGGACUUCAAUUAUCCAGAUAUUUGCUGGAUAAGCAACACAGCCAGGCACGCACAGUCUAGAAGGUUCCUGCAAUGUGUUGAAGACAACUUUCUGAUGCAGGUGGUGGAAGAACCUAUGAGAGGAGAAGUGUUGCUGGACCUUAUUCUCACUAAUAAGGAAGGGCUUGUCAAGGAAGUAAAGGUCGGGGGCAGUUUGGGUUGUAGUGACCAUGAGAUGGUGGAGUUCAAGAUCUUGAGUGGAAGAAGCAAAGCAAAAAGUAG